rnacentral:rRNA from 1 species
AUAAUACCUCCUGCUCAGUGUAAACAGCCGCAGUACCCUGACUGUGCAAAGGUAGCAUAAUAACUUGGCUUAUAAUUGAAGUCUGGAUUCAACGGAACAUGGGUUUAACUUUAUUACAUAAUAUAUAAAUUUGGUAAUGAAGUGAAAAUACUUCAUUAAAUAUUAGACGAGAAGACCCUAGAAAUUUUUAUUUUUGUUGGGGCAACAGAGUAAUACUAUAGGAAUUAAAUAAAUGAUUAAUAAAUUACUCUAGGGAUAACAGCAUAAUUUUUAAAGUUUGUGACCUCGAUGUUGGACUAAGUAUAAUUAAAA